rnacentral:rRNA from 1 species
AUUGAACGCUGGCGGCAGGCCUAACACAUGCAAGUCGAACGAGUGGCGCACGGGUGAGUAAUGUCUGGGACUCUCCCUGGUGGAGGGGGAUAUCUACUGGACACGGUAGCUAAUACCGCAUAACAUCAGAUGUGCCCAGAUGGGAUUAGCUAGUGGGUGGGGUAACGGCUCACCACGGCGACGAUCCCUAGCUGGUCUGAGAGGAUGACCAGCCACACUGGAACUGAGACACGGUCCAGACUCCUACGGGAGGCAGCAGUGGGGAAUAUUGCACAAUGGGCGCAAGCCUGAUGCAGCCAUGCCGCGUGUAUGAAGAAGGCCUUCGGGUUGUAAAGUACUUUCAGCGGGGAGGCGUUACCCGCAGAAGAAGCACCGGCUAACUCCGUGCCAGCAGCCGCGGUAAUUC